AUGAAAUUUCACAAAAUCCCUUGAGCUGUUAAAAGUCGCUUCAAAUCAACGUUGAAGAAGAAGUCAAAGAAAAAACAGCUGCACUAUAGAAGGGACUGAAGGAAAAGGAAGAGAACAUAAAAUCUUGAGAACCAUCUCUAAAACAAAAGAAGACACCACAAAUCUUGAAACCAGAAUCCGAAUUAUUUAACUUGAAGCUUAAUCUCCAAUAAUACAGGCUCCUAUUUAUCAAGUAGUUUUAAGUUGUUUGAAAUCCUAAAUCAAUCUGAAUUACCAAAACUUUAAACCAAAAUCAAAAUUACUUAAUUGAAGCCUAAUCCACUAUGCUACAGACAGUUAUCGAGUGGGUCUUAAAUUGUUUGAAAUCCCAAAUCAAUUUGACCCUAAUUUAACCAAAAAAAUAAACCACACUAUGCCUAAUUCCAAAAGUAUACUAAACAAAAAUCUGAAUAUCAACUAAAAACUAAGCAUUCUCCUGUUUGUU
rnacentral:misc_RNA from 1 species